AUUGAAAGCUGGCGGCAGGCCUAACACAUGCAAGUCGAACGAGUGGCGGACGGGUGAGUAAUGUCUGGGACUUUGCCAUAUGGAGGGGGAUAUCUACUGGACACUGUAUCUAACAGCGCAUACUCUCGUAUGUGCACAGAUGGUAAUAGCUAGUAGGUGGGGUAACGGCUCACCUAGGCGACGCUCCCUAGCUGGUCUGAGAGGAUGACCAGCCACACUGGAACUGAGACACGGUCCAGACUCCUACGGGAGGCAGCAGUGGGGAAUAUUGCACAAUGGGCGCAAGCCUGAUGCAGCCAUGCCGCGUGUAUGAAGAAGGCCUUCGGGUUGUAAAGUACUUUCAGCGAGGAGGCGUUACUCGCAGAAGAAGCACCGGCUAACUCCGUGCCAGCCGCCGCGGUAAUAC
rnacentral:rRNA from 1 species